rnacentral:lncRNA from 1 species
AUCUGGUCAAAUAAACUGUUUCUGACGUUGUUGUAUACAAAACUCCGAUAGCUAGCUAGAAAAUGUUCUGAAUUUAUCAAAGGAGUUUAAUAGACUUGGGCCUACGAUUGUUUUUGGUGCCGGAUUAUCGGAAUUAAGAAGUGCCUGUUCGCGACUAAAAAGCUAUUGCGCUGUUAUCUCCCGUUCUAAAUAGUGAGUGUCGUUCCUGCCAGUCGCCAUACACAAUGAAAAAACGGGAAAACCGUUCCAUCGGUUGUUGCCGUUCCAGCCACCCAUCCACCAUCAUCACCUAGCAAAUGUUUCCGGAUAAAGGUCUGAUGUUCAUAGGCAUUCCCGGUAAACGAUUUCCGGAAUGGACAAGCGGAUUACAGUGAAUGUGAUUUAAAUAUGAUGACAUAAAUUAAAAGAAAAAUGUGAUUAUGAUGUUAACGUAAAAUAAAAUAUAGGAUUGAAUUCUGUUUCUUUUCAUUA